GCAAGGCAAGGCCAGGCAAGGCAAGGCAAGGCAAGGCAUGUCCAGGCAAUUCAAGACAAGGCCAGGCAAGCCAGGCAAGGCAAGGCAAUUCCAGGCCAGUAACUGCAAGGCAAGGCAAGGCCAGUCAAAACAAGGCAAGUCCAGGUAAGGCCAGGCAAGUCCAGGCAAGGCCAGUCAAUGCAUGGCAAGUCCAGGCCAGACACAGCUAAGCAAGGCAAGGUCGGUCAAGGCAAGGCAAGCAAGGCAAGGCCAGGCAAGGCAAGACAAGGCAAAACAAGGCCAGGCCAGGCCAGGCAAGGCAAGGCAAGGCAAGGCAACACUAGGCAAGGCAAGGCAACACUAGGCAAGGCAUGGCCAGUCAAGGCUAGGCAAGUCCAGGCAAGUCCAGUCAUAGCCAGGCAGGGAAAGGCAAGGCAAGGCAAGUCCAGG
ensembl:lncRNA